UUAGUUAUUAUUUGUAUCUAACAAUAACAUAAACUAAUAAAUUCUGAUGCUUAUUCGACACAUCUACAGCACCAUCGACUAUCGAGCCUUUGAUUUAUCGAUCCUUCGGUUUCCUGGAAAUGGUCAGAUCGCUGUUACUACUGGCCAGUUUAGUGACACUGAGCUAUGGGUUAAACUGUGUCACAUGCUCCAGUGUGACCAUGGAAAUAGAAGGUGACUGGUCUGUUAAUGGUACAGUUAACCCGUUUUUUAAUGGUAACAGUUCAGAAGAUGAGAAGUGUGUCACGAAAAUAUGCGAAUCUGACGACGAUUUCUGCGUAUACGGAUACGGCAAUAUCACAUAUCAAAGUUCCUUUUCCAUUCUGCCUCUGGAGGAAGAUGCUCCGCCUCCAGAGGUCAAUAUUACAAUAAUAAUGGACUGGAUGAAAGGUUGUGUUAGUCAUACCGAAGUCAAGUGUUGGAACAUAAUAAAUGAGAAGAUUGAUGGUCUACAUAGUACAGUAUCUAAAUGUGACAUGAACAUGAAUACCUGCAACACCGAUAACUGUAAUGAUAAAACGUUUGCAGAAAUAAAAAGUGGAACAACUAGAACUCAUGUUUUGAGCUGCUUCUUGGCUUCCUUACUCGUCAACUUCUGGGUUUAGGGACUUCAGCAUAUAAAACCGUGUGUUAGUGUACGUGCGUGGUACAUGGUAGAUACUUCAGAUUCUACCAUCUUCACAUAGCAGAAUAACUAAAAUAAUGUUUUAUAAUUCUUCCGAAACUGAAUCCUUAACAAACAAAAAAUGGUUAUUGCUUUUUAAAUUUAACAUAGCCAAUCAAAGCUGAUUUGCAAUUUUUUAGAAUUCCCGAAAAUAAUCUUAUCUUUUCUAAUGUUGGAAGGUAGAAUAUCACGUUGACAAUGUUGUACUUGUAGUUCAAGUUGUAGGUUAUGAUAAAGUCAUAACUAGUAGUAGUGUCAUGUGAUAUAUAAGACAAGAUAUAAUUAAGUCUAGAUUUAAGAUUACUAGUUUAAGUAACGUUAUAUAUUUACUUGUGUAUUUGUUAAUGGAUGAAGUAUAAUCAUGCCAUGCAAAAUAUUCGCAGACCA